GCUGUUUUGAGAUCAUAUUCUUUGCUCGUUGGUGAGUUAUUAGCCCAGUUAUAGAUCAGUUGUAGUCCUCAAUGGGGGAGUGUUUGUUUCCUACAAGACACAACACGUGUGCAUUUCUAGACGUCUUUGAAAAGUGAUUCGGAAGCACUCUGAAACCCCCCAACUCAGAGCACCCUUUCCCAGCCACGAGCAGAGCAACAGCCCCUUACCUUUUUGGAGUCCUGGAGGAGACGAGGUACUGUGGACUGGAGUCCUGGAGGAGACGAGGUACUGUGGACUGUGUGGAGCUAAAGAUCAGAGCUGCUACUCCCUCGAGACAGUGAGAAAGUGAACCAGAAACAGACCUGUGAAACCCUGCCUGCAGAUGAAGAACAAUGGUUCCCAGUCCUGUUCCUGGGGUCUCAAAGGGAUGCCUUGCAACUUGAAAUUUCUUCAAAACGAUUGUCACUGUGUAGGGCACUGCACAGUUGGGUGACCAGGGCCAUCUGGGACUGUUGUCGUGGAAAUUUCCUCUAUUUACCAAAUCAUGGGAGCAAACCACACACACAAGCAUCUGUGAAGACUACCUGUGUCCUGCUUAACUUCAUGAUGAUGAACAGGAGGGGACAUGCAGCGCUCCGCCGUGUGCCAGAGGAGAGGUCUGCUGCUCUGCAGGAUGUUGCCAGGAUGGGGGCCAACAACGCAGCACAGUAGGCAAUCUGUGUGCAGGAGACCUUCACCUCCUACUUCUUCACAGAGGAUGCUGUUCCUUGGCAACACCAUAGACUACACUAUGCACAACCAAAGCCAUCCACAUUGCAAUAAGAGUAUUCUUGAAUUUACUUAGCUAUGUUAACUGCAGUUAUUCAAUUUCCAGUUUCUCUUCCUUUGAUUUCUACUUUGCGGGUGAGGGUGCUGUUUAGGUAGGAGUGGUGUCUGUACAAAAACAAAACAGACUCUCACCCAUUUUGAAAACAUUUAGAACAAUUAGACACCCUAUAAGCCACAACUACACACUUGUCUAUUGCUAUAAAGAAGCGUUAACACACCUCACACAGGCCUUUUUUCAGGUGAAUACGUUUUAGAAAAAAAAAUUAGUGUGUGUUUCCGGAAAAAAGGGCCACUAUUGUCUCAAAAGUCCGUUAUUAUUGACUUUUAAAACAAUUAUUGUUCAUCAGUAAAAGGGGCAAUCCGCAGUUAAUAUAACUUGUGCUUAGUUCAACUGUUGUACCCCAUUGUUAGAGGAGAUUAUGGUUGAAAUGAUUAAUUAUGUAUACAUUAUUGAUUAGAACCAUUUAUUCUAAUACUAUUAUGUUAUGGUAUGAAAAGUAAAAGUUAUUGGUUAAGCUGUUACUGAAAAUGUAAGCAGAAAUAAUUCAUUGUCUGUGCCUCUUGGGAAGUUUAAGGGGGAGGGAUGAGAUAGCUUUUCAGACAGAUAAGAAUGUUUUGGUUGGAUUCCAUUAGUGGAGAGAUGCUAGUGGUUGGAAUGUAGUUUUAUGGGAGGAGCAGGAAGAUUGUACCAGACCUAAUAAACAAUGGGCUCUUAUGAGAAUCGGAGAGAGGGUGGGAAACUGAUGAUGUCAUUUUCAGUUUAUAACCUGUGGAAAUGUGUGUAAGCAUUUAGUACUCUCUUGUAAUAAACGCUGUUACUUUUGGCUUUUAA